rnacentral:misc_RNA from 1 species
UUAAGUUCAGCGGGUAGUCCUACUCGAUUUGAGGUCAAGUCGCCAGAAGAUUGUCCGAGGACAGUUUGAAGCAACAGAGCUCCCGAUCGGCCACCCUCUCUGCGAGGAGCCGGCGAAGACACUUAUCACGCCGUACUAUGUCCAAUCAAGAGAUGCACUAACAUAUUUCAGGUGAGCCACAGUCAAGCAGCAACACCCAA